rnacentral:misc_RNA from 1 species
AAAAAAAAAAGAAAAAAUUGACUCUGUUUCUACUUCUAGGGUUUGCAAUUCCUACUUCCUAUUUGUUUCUGCUGAGCAUUUAGGGUUUCUAAUAUUGCUUGCUUCGUCUCAGGUUAGCUUGACAUGGAUCCUACAAAGCAAACUUUCCCACACCGAACACUUUCUGUCAAAUUGUGGCCUCCUAGUCAGAGUACUAGGCUAAUGCUUGU